CCACAUCCGUGCUUACCCACGGUCCCCUCACACAUCUGCCAAGGGUUUACGCUCCUCGCGCCCACAUUGAUGCGUACAAUGAAAUGUGUCGGUGCCCAACACAUGUCACAGAGCUGCUUGCCCUGGCACAUGGUGACAUCUCGAUCUUUACCGAUGUCCUGACACUGCUGUAACCAAGUCAAGCAUGGGAGAUGCACGGGACUCGAGAGAGGCCCUCCCGCUGGAAUGGGCAGGGUGCGAGACGGGCUGUGGAUGAAGUUUCAGGUAUAAAGGCAGGGCUCAGCCACAGAUGGGGUGCGCCAUGAGCGGUGUCAGAUCUCAGCAGCGACUGAGGGAACGGUGACAUGCCCUCAGCUGUCAGGCACAGGCAGGAGCUCCUCUCAGGAGCUACCCCGCAGGGAACUCCAGUAGCAGCCAGCGAGCUGAGCCAAGGCUCAGCAGGGACUCGGGCAGAAAUGAAGCCAUCCCGAGGAGGAGGAGAAGGCGAUGAACCCUGGCGGGACGGAGCCGCGGGCCGAGCCCAGUGCGCGGCCACCGCUCCCCACGGAGCUGCUGAAGCCUCCAGAGAGCGCGAGCGCCUCAGGGCUGCAAGGCCAUUGGCUGCCGCCGCCGUCCAUCAAAGCGCCAAGGCCAAUAGCAACGCGAGGUUCUGCGGGGCUAACGGCGGGUGCGCUCGGCCCCGCCUGGGCCAAUCGCGUGGGAGAAGGUGGGCGGCGCCCCCGCCGCGCCGCGAAGAAGGGGGGGCCAAGAUGGCGGCGAUGGGGGGGCCCGGUUUACGCGGCGCUGCCCGUUCCCCGUCCCCGGGCGCUCUCCGCCGCUGCCCCCUCCUCGGCGAGGGAUCGCGGGCCGCUCUCGCCGCACGGAGACGGAGCAGGGACGCGGGAGAGGAGGCGUGGGGUCCCAGGAAACACCCCGAAGCAUGGUCAGAGUCCAACCCGGCUACACUCCCAGAGAACCUUGGCCUGCCACAGUUAGUCUAAACAAGCAACAUAAAACAAUCUGUGAAAAGAAAAACAGCCAUAAUCACGUUUCCAGCCAACACUCUGCUGACCCACGAUACAGGAAAAAUGCAGAGGAUUAGGAACGCUUUCCCUGGUUGCUCAGGCAACAGCAAGACAUGGGAAUAUGAAAAGGUACUACCAUCCUUUGUACAGAAUCUCACUGGAGUUCUCAGACAUGUUUAUAAUUUUCUAUGUUUUUCUUCUUUCCCAUUGUCACAUACCUAAAACAUGAACAUUAUUUGUUUAGUUUGCUACCUAGAAUGUGAAAAUGUUAAAUAUAAAAAUAGAUAAUCUGUCUUUUUCCUACAGGAUAAAAUAAGUAGUUUCCUUAUAGAGGCUGUGAUUUUUAAAAUUGUGCACUGAAAGGUUUCUAGGUGGUAUCUAAAACACAGCUAUUAUUAUCUCUCUUAAAAAAAACUCUAAUUUUGUGGCAUCUCUUAAUAAAAAAAUAAUUAUUCCUUCAUCUGCUUUUUUUUCCCACUUACAUGUGCAAGUACCUAACAAAUAGGCCCCAUAAAGUUGCAACUUCACAGACCUAUUUAACUGUCAAACUUACAGAGGAAGAUUGUUUCUGAAGGCUUUAUUUUCCAAAUUAAAAAAAGAUGCUUCUAAGUCAGAAAUGAAUGUAAGAAUAGCAAGUAAAUAGUAUUCCAAGUUAGACAUCUGUAAGUUAUCUGAGACAGGCCCCAAAAAUUCCAUCCAUAUAUCUUUGUAAAUUUAUAUAAUAGAAACUUAAUACAAACGGCAAACAUAUUUUUGGCUGGCCUGAUUUACCGAAUUUUCAACCACUUAAUGGUUGAGGGAUUUUUAUCACUUGGUUUUGUGUUUUUAAGCAUGUAAACUAUACUUGUAAUGAAAGGAAUGUCCAUGCAUGAUGUGUCAGUGUGAGUCAUCGAGCAGGCACUGCCUGCACCUCUGCAUGAGGUAAUUUCUGCUUUGACUCACAGUGUCUGGCAGGGUCACAUACCCCCUCUCGGUUCUGGUGCUGAUUCUGGAGGAUCCCAGCCUUGGCCUGAGUCACUGCCUCUGUCAAGCAGGUGUUUUUCAAACUCCUUUCAGGAAAUGUCAAUAGGAUUUCCCCCCACCUCUCCCUUCUCCUGGCUCAUUGCUGUUCAUUGAAACACGUCCUCAGAUGCCACAGCAGCACUGGGAUGGUUGCUCUGUACAGAGACUCUCUCCACUACCAACCUGCUUCAUUUUCUACUGUCUAUUUUGAGUUCUUGGAUGAUACAUACCACAAAAAACCAAAUAUACAUACACCUUCAGGGUUCCUGGGCUUACAGAGCACCUGCUCCCCACAUUUGUUGGGGUAUUGGGUAAUCCUGCACAGCGUUCUGUCACUGUAUGGGGUUGGUGGGUGAAUGAAUGAAACCAGAGCAUGGAGCCCACACAGCAGCUGUUGGGAUUGCUCUUGCAAUUUCAGAGCAUUCAGGGUAAGUGUAAACCUACUGAGAAACCCAGUCCCUGGAACUGGGUGUAUACUCAGCAGAAAGAUUGAUGCUGAAGAGCCUUUGUGCAAUCCCUAAAACAAGUGAGGCUGGUGUUUGCAGAAUCUGUGUACCCCACUUGGCUAUGGUCACAAUUGUUCUUCACACAUCUAUUUGUAUCACAUGUCCCCAGUGCCUCUUCAUGCUUGUCCUCUGCUCAGACAGACAAUUCCCAAAGGGCAUUUUAAAUUGUUCUUUACAACUAUCCAAGUCCCUUUUCAACUACCAGCAGACUGCUCAGUACAUUCCUUUGUUGUGAAGAUGUUUUCUCCCUCAGCCAUCAUUACUGAGACAGAAGACUCUUCAGGUCUACCUCUCCCCUUUUGAAGGAGGGCAAGAUGAUUAAAAAAUACCCAGCAUUCCCAUUUAGUGGUUCAUAAAUUCUAUCUGAAUCUGGCCUUAACAGAUGACUUUGACUUUAGAGAUUACAUUCUGCAUAAGAAAACAUUGAACUUCCAGGGAAUUGAGGACACAUCACAACAGUUCUGUCCUUACCUAAGAGAGGACUGGAGCAAAGGCCUUGUACAUGACCCAGACAGAUAUGAGCCAAGAGAAACCUCACCUUAUCACCAUGGACCAUGUGUGCAGCUGCAGCAGGCAAACAUCAACACCAUCCUAUCAAAAAGCUGCAGUCACUGCAGGAUUAUCCCCAGUGCUGCAUGCCAUGAGCUGCAGCAGGGAGGCAGCCAAGCAACAUGACAUCACUGUCCAGUUCCCAGUGGAGAAGAGAGAUCAGAAAAUUCUGGAAAUGUUGUAGUUUUUCCUUACUUGUAGUCUGUACAGCAAAACUGAACAUUACUUAAGAAGAAAAUUAGAGAGUACUGAAAACAAACAACCUGGCUAAACCAAACCAAAAUAAGUCAGCAGCUAAUAGAAGGGGC